UGUCGCGUAGCUCAACGGUAGAGCACCCUGUUGAUAACGGGGAGGUCGUAGGGUCAGCACCUACCGCGACAA
rnacentral:tRNA from 2 species